UACGUAGGGUGCGAGCGUUGUCCGGAAUUAUUGGGCGUAAAGGGCUCGUAGGCGGUUUGUCGCGUCGGGAGUGAAAACCUUGGGCUUAACUCAGGGCUUGCUUUCGAUACGGGCAGACUAGAGGUAUGCAGGGGAGAACGGAAUUCCUGGUGUAGCGGUGAAAUGCGCAGAUAUCAGGAGGAACACCGGUGGCGAAGGCGGUUCUCUGGGCAUGAUCUGACGCUGAGGCGCGAAAGCGUGGGGAGCGAACAGG
rnacentral:rRNA from 1 species